GAUGAACGCUGGCGGCGUGCCUAAUACAUGCAAGUCGAGCGAACGGACGAGAAUCUUGCUGCUCUGAUGUUAGCGGCGGGCGGGUGAGUAACACGUGGAUAACCUACCUAUAAGACUGGGAUAACUUCGGGAAUCCUGAUCUAAUACCGGAUAAUAUUUUGAACCGCAUGGUUCACAAGUGAAAGACGGUUUUGCUGUCACUUAUAGAUGUUUCCGCGCCGCAUUAGCUAGUUGGUAAGGUAACGGCUUACCAAGGCUACGAUGCGUAGCCGACCUGAGAGGGUGAUCGGCCACACUGGAACUGAGACACGGUCCAGACUCCUACGGGAGGCAGCAGUAGGGAAUCUUCCGCAAUGGGCGAAAGCCUGACGGAGCAACGCCGCGUGAGUGAUGAAGGUCUUCGGAUCGUAAAACUCUGUUAUUAGGGAAGAACAUAUGUGUAAGUAAAUGUGCCCAUCUUGACGGUACCUAAUCAGAAAGCAACGGCUAACUACGUG
rnacentral:rRNA from 1 species